CAGACAAAAACCACCUGAAGAGAGCGGAUUCACUUUAAUGCGGAUAAGAGGAAUUUGUGGAAGUGCUAAGUUGUUUAUCUCAUACAGAAGGGCUUUCAAGAGUACGGAUGCCUAUCAAUACUCAGUUGCAGGAUGGGUCAACGACACCAAUAUAUGGCAUCUGGAAACAAAAAACAUAUUUGUGAUCACAGGACAUGUCAAUCAUUCCCAGGCUCUGAACACAAAAGCAACAUGUCCAUGGAUAGUGGUGCAGGAGAUCGGGACAGUGGUGAUGGCACAUUGCACAUGUAUGGCAGGGUUGGGAGAGGUGUGUUCCCAUGCUGCGGCACUGAUGUUCACAGUUUUGGCUGCUGUUGACAAGAGAGAAGGACAGACAUGCACCGAGAAGCCAUGCGCAUGGACAAAGCCUAGCAUGAAAAAGUUAAAUAUGAUAAGCUGUCUAACAUAUUUGCUAAGCAAGAGCAAGAAACUCAAGACCAUUUGCAGCACAUGAGACCAUCCGCUGAUGAGUUCAAGUUCUUCUGUGAACAGCUCCACCAAAGCGAAGACCAAGAGGCAAAGCCCAAGAAAAGUGCGAUCCUGUCAGUCAUCGAAGGCCAUUCCCUCAGAUACAUGCCCAAGACUGUACAGUUGGAUCUGCCAACACCUCUGAUCACUCUGUAUGCAAGCACCAGGCUUGAAAUGGAUUUGCCUGCACU